rnacentral:rRNA from 1 species
UACGUAGGGGGCAAGCGUUGUCCGGAAUCAUUGGGCGUAAAGCGCGUGUAGGCGGCUCGAUAAGUCUGCUGUGAAAGUUCAGGGCUCAACCCUGAAAUGCCGGUGGAAACUGUCGGGCUAGAGUCCGGAAGAGGCGAGUGGAAUUCCUGGUGUAGCGGUGAAAUGCGCAGAUAUCAGGAGGAACACCAUGGCGAAGGCAGCUCGCUGGGACGGUACUGACGCUGAGACGCGAAAGCGUGGGGGAGCAAAACAGG